UUCCCUUAGUGGCCGGCCUCUUGGAAGAAAAUGGAGAGAAAAUGUUUCACCCAAUUUCAACUAGAAAACCCUUAAAGAAAAUAAAGCUAUAAAGUUGAAUUUAUACUUCAUUACAAGUGAGUGGCAAACUUGUAAUUAAUCCAAGCUUGCCCAUCCACCCUAAUGGCCGGCCUCUUUGAUGUUAUUGGGCUAUUUGCCCAUUUUGUUU
rnacentral:lncRNA from 1 species